rnacentral:rRNA from 1 species
CCUACGGGGGGCAGCAGUGGGGAAUAUUGGACAAUGGGGGCAACCCUGAUCCAGCCAUGCCGCGUGUGUGAAGAAGGCCCUCGGGUUGUAAAGCACUUUCAGUGAGGAAGAACGCCUGGUGGUUAAUACCCAUCAGGAAAGACAUCACUCACAGAAGAAGCACCGGCUAACUCCGUGCCAGCAGCCGCGGUAAUACGGAGGGUGCGAGCGUUAAUCGGAAUUACUGGGCGUAAAGCGCGCGUAGGUGGCUUGAUAAGCCGGUUGUGAAAGCCCCGGGCUCAACGUGGGAACGGCAUCCGGAACUGUCAAGCUAGAGUGCAGGAGAGGAAGGUAGAAUUCCCGGUGUAGAGGUGAAAUGCGUAGAGAUCGGGAGGAAUACCAGUGGCGAAGGCGGCCUUCUGGACUGACACUGACACUGAGGUGCGAAAGCGUGGGUAGCAAACAGGAUUAGAUACCCUUGUAGUC